rnacentral:rRNA from 1 species
UACGGAGGGUGCAAGCGUUGUCCGGAAUCACUGGGCGUAAAGGGCGCGUAGGCGGCUCAUUGAAGGCUGUGGUGAAAGUCCGGGGCUCAACCUCGGAUCGGCCGUGGCGACUCGUGGGCUGGAGCACUGUAGAGGCGGGUGGAAUUCCGGGUGUAGCGGUGGAAUGCGUAGAGAUCCGGAAGAACACCAGUGGCGAAGGCGGCCCGCUGGGCAGUGGCUGACGCUGAGGCGCGACAGCGUGGGGAGCAAACAGG